rnacentral:rRNA from 1 species
UCGGUCCCUCGUCUUCCUUGACAACUUGACCUCAAAUCAGGUAGGACUACCCGCUGAACUUAAGCAUAUCAAUAAGCGGAGGAAAAGAAACUAACAAGGAUUCCCCUAGUAACUGCGAGUGAAGCGGGAUGAGCUCAAAUUUUGAAUCUGGCGGUCUUUGGCCGUCCGAGUUGUAAUCUAGAGAAGCGUUUUCCGCGUUGGCCCGUGUACAAGUCUCCUGGAAAGGAGCGUCAUAGAGGGUGAGAAUCCCGUCUUUGACACGGACUACCAGUGCUAUGUGAUGCGCUCUCGACGAGUCGAGUUGUUUGGGAAUGCAGCUCAAAAUGGGUGGUAAAUUCCAUCUAAAGCUAAAUACAGGCGAGAGACCGAUAGCGAACAAGUACCGUGAGGGAAAGAUGAAAAGAACUUUGGAAAGAGAGUUAAACCGUACGUGAAAUUGCUGAAAGGGAAACGCUUGAUGUCAGUCGCGUCGGCCGGGGAUCAACCUUGCUUCUCGCUGGGUGUAUUUCCUGGUCGACGGGUCAGCAUCGGUUUCGGUCGCCGUACAAGGGCGAGGGGAACGUGGCACUCUCCGGAGUGUGUUAUAGCCUUUCGUCGCAUGCGGUGGUCGGGACUGAGGAACUCAGCACGGCUUCGGUCUGUGCUUAGGAUGCUGGCAUAAUGGCCUUAAGCGACCCGUCUUG